rnacentral:rRNA from 1 species
ACGGGGGCCCGCACAAGCAGUGGAGUAUGUGGUUUAAUUCGAAGCAACGCGAAGAACCUUUACCAGGGCUUGACAUCCCUUGAAGCAGCUAGAGAUAGCUGUGUCCUUCGGGACAAGGAGACAGGUGGUGCAUGGUUGUCGUCAGCUCGUGUCGUGAGAUGUUGGGUUAAGUCCCGCAACGAGCGCAACCCCUACGUUUAGUUGCUAACGCGUGAAGGCGAGCACUCUAGACGAACUGCCGUUGACAAAACGGAGGAAGGUGGGAUGACGUCAAAUCAUCAUGCCCCUUAUGUUCUGGGCUACACACGUGCUACAAUGGCCGGUACAGACGGACGCAAAGCCGCGAGGUGGAGCAAAUCCUAAAAAGCCGGUCUCAGUUCGGAUUGCAGGCUGCAAUUCGCCUGCAUGAAGUCGGAAUCGCUAGUAAUCGCAGGUCAGCAUACUGCGGUGAAUACGUUCCCGGGCCUU